AUUGAACGCUAGCGGCAGGCCUAACACAUGCAAGUCGAGCGGAGCGGCGGACGGGUGAGUAAUGCCUAGGAAUCUGCCUGGUAGUGGGGGAUAACGUCCGGAAACGGGCGCUAAUACCGCAUACUAUCAGAUGAGCCUAGGUCGGCUUAGCUGGUUGGUGGGGUAAAGGCCUACCAAGGCGACGAUCCGUAACUGGUCUGAGGGGAUGAUCAGUCACACUGGAGCUGAGGCACGGUCCAGACUCCUACGGGAGGCAGCAGUGGGGAAUAUUGGACAAUGGGCGGAAACCUGACGGAGCAACGGCGCGGGAGUGAUGACGGCCUUCGGGUUGUAAAGCUCUGUUAAUCGGGACGCGGUACCGGAAUAGAAAGCAACGGCUAACUACGUGCCAGCAGCCGCGGUAAUAC
rnacentral:rRNA from 1 species